AUGCAAGUCGAGGGGUAACAGAGAAAAGCUUGCUUUUUUGCUGACGACCGGCGCACGGGUGCGUAACGCGUAUGCAAUCUACCUUUUGCUAAGGGAUAGCCCAGAGAAAUUUGGAUUAAUACCUUAUAGUAUGAUGACUUGGCAUCAAGAUAUCAUUAAAGGUUACGGCAAAAGAUGAGCAUGCGUUCUAUUAGCUAGUUGGUAUGGUAACGGCAUACCAAGGCAACGAUAGAUAGGGGUCCUGAGAGGGAGAUCCCCCACACUGGUACUGAGACACGGACCAGACUCCUACGGGAGGCAGCAGCGAGGAAUAUUGGACAAUGGAGGCAACUCUGAUCCAGCCAUGCCGCGUGCAGGAAGACUGCCCUAUGGGUUGUAAACUGCUUUUAUACAGGAAGAAACACCUCUACGUGUAGAGAUUUGACGGUACUGUAAGAAUAAGGAUCGGCUAACUCCGUGCCAGCAGCCGCGGUAAUACGGAGGAUCCAAGCGUNAUCCGGAAUCAUUGGGUUUAAAGGGUCCGUAGGUGGAUAAUUA
rnacentral:rRNA from 1 species